rnacentral:lncRNA from 1 species
AAAGAAUUUGAAAAGAUGCUGGGGUGUGCAGAGGAAGGGCACGCGAGUCUGGGAAGAGGUGACAUCAAAACCAGAUCCCGACUGGGCCUCCUACACUCUGGGCGUCUUCAUCUGCCUGAGCUGCUCGGGAAUCCACCGGAAUAUCCCCCAGGUCAGCAAGGUGAAGUCCGUCCGCCUGGACGCCUGGGAGGAGGCCCAAGUGGAGUUCAUGGCCUCCCACGGGAACGACGCCGCGAGAGCCAGGUUUGAGUCCAAAGUACCCUCCUUCUACUACCGGCCCACGCCCUCCGACUGCCAGCUCCUUCGAGAGCAGUGGAUCCGGGCCAAGUACGAGCGACAGGAGUUCAUCUACCCGGAGAAGCAGGAGCCCUACUCGGCAGGGUACCGUGAGGGUUUUCUCUGGAAGCGUGGCCGGGACAACGGGCAGUUUUUGAGCCGGAAGUUUGUGCUGACAGAACGAGAGGGUGCUCUGAAGUAUUUCAACAGAAAUGAUGCCAAGGAGCCCAAGGCCGUGAUGAAGAUCGAGCACCUGAACGCCACCUUCCAGCCGGCCAAGAUCGGCCACCCCCACGGCCUGCA